UUUAAAUCGUUUAGUAACACAUCAGCCAAGGGUCGGAAUGUGCCUACAGAACAGUAUAAAAAAAGCAGGAUUAAAGUUCACAAUCAUCACAGUUUUAUACAGCUUAUCAGCUCGGAAAUAUAGUGUUUCUAUUGGUUUGUCUUAUACGACAAUACUUACCGCCAGUCAUUUUAUAAGCCAUCAAUCCGCCCGCUGUGCCACCAGCAGCCAGUCCUACAGGUCCAAGCAGAAUUCCUCCUAUAAAAGCAGUUGCUGCACAAACUAAAUAAAUUAUAAAAUGUAGAGUUUAAAUAAAUAAAAACUUAUUUUUUUAAUUUA